CAAGAUGCAGCUCCAACACGUGGCGACGGAACAAGAAGCAAGCACUUGCAGUUUUCGUUGCGCCCUGUUUCGUCAUACCCAAAGGAUUCUCGAUGAUCGUGUUUAACGUCAUUGGUACUGACAGAGUGGAAAUAUAAUGGCGAUCAGAUAAAGAUUUUUUGCUUUCAGUUCACUUUUGAAAUUGUGCAGCAUAUAACCCUCGGCAACUCUACCCCGGACGAACUCAAACAUGUUGAUCAGCUGAGGAGAUUCGUGCGGUACGACAUUUCAGCUGGCAGCGUUUAUAUACCAGGGAAUUUCGAAGUUCUGAUAUAGGUAACAAAGAUCCACUGAGGUUCUUCUUUCCAAGUGGGAACAUUGCAAAUAACUCGACACGAUGGCUCAUCUACUUGGCAUAACUGACACUGAGAAAUAUGUGAUGAGUGAGAGGGAGAGACUCUAUUACCGAAAGGAGACUCAGAAGGCUCCUCCCCCACCGACCAAACCCAUCUACGUGGCUGAGACUCCCUAUUCUGCCAUCCUGUACAAGCGGGUCUUCCUACACGAUUUUCUGGUACACACGCCUCGUGUACAGGACCAGCGCGGCCUUUAGAUCCUCAACAGAAGCACAUGCAGCAUAUGGAUCUCUGCAAGUGGCACUGUCGACAUUCAAGAGAUAAAUCUGAGUGUCCUUAUGGAAACAUUUACGUCCAUUCCACCCCGGAAAUUUGGAAACCAGUUAUGUGAUUCCCCUGCUCACUACAAGACGUGAAGACGUGUUGCCAUUUUACUGAAAGUCAAUUAUGAGUGUGAAUGUUACUGUCUAGUCAUGAAUGAUGAAUAAAGUCUGAUAUUGUUAUUCUUUUAUAAAGAAAUCAGAAUUCUCACGCGUCAGCAUUGGUAUAAACCCACUCCUUUGUCCAUGGUAUUUUUUUUCCGUUUAUAUUAAACAGUGAAGUUAUUA